rnacentral:rRNA from 1 species
UACGUAGGUGGCAAGCGUUAUCCGGAAUUACUGGGCGUAAAGCGUGCGCAGGCGGUGAUGUAAGACAGAUGUGAAAUCCCCGGGCUCAACCUGGGAACUGCAUUUGUGACUGCAUCGCUGGAGUGCGGCAGAGGGGGAUGGAAUUCCGCGUGUAGCAGUGAAAUGCGUAGAUAUGCGGAGGAACACCGAUGGCGAAGGCAAUCCCCUGGGCCUGCACUGACGCUCAUGCACGAAAGCGUGGGGAGCAAACAGG